rfam:Dipodomys ordii contig_34377, whole genome shotgun sequence.
GGGGAUAUAGCUUAGUGGUAGAGUGCUUGCCUACCAUGCAUGAAGCCCUGGGUUCAAUUCCUCCAUAUCUUUU